AGGGAAUAUUGGUAAUCUGGGAAACCGGGAACCAGCAACGCCGCGUGUGCGAUGAAGGCCUUCGGGUUGUAAAGCACUUUUUGAGGGGAUGAAAAAGGACAGUACCCUCAGAAUAAGUCUCGGCUAACUACGUGCCAGCAGCCGCGGUAAGACGUAGGAGACGAGCGUUAUUCGGAUUUACUGGGCGUAAAGCGCGUGCAGGCGGUUUGGUAAGUUGGAUGUGAAAGCUCCCGGCUCAACUGGGAGAGGUCGUUCAAAACUGCCAGACUAGAGAAUAGGAGAGGGAGGUGGAAUUCCGGGUGUAGUGGUGAAAUGCGUAGAUAUCCGGAGAAACACCAGUGGCGAAGGCGACCUCCUGGCCUAUUUCUGACGCUCAGACGCGAAAGCUAGGGUAGCAAACGG
rnacentral:rRNA from 1 species